UGCAGCCAUAUAAUAUUAAAACACUGGCUCCCAUACAAUCACUGAAGUUAAGCAACUUUGAGCUUGGUCAGUACCUAGAUGGGUGAACACUUGGAAAUGCCAGGUGCUGUAAG